CACCCAUUCCUUCUCUCCAGAGAUGCUGCCUGUCCCGCUGAGUUACUCCAGCACUUUGUGUCUUACUUCGGUGUAAAGCAGCACCUGCAGUUCCCCUCCCACACAUGAACAAAGCUCAGCCAGGCAGCAAGAGACGGGACCAGUUGAAGAGCGGAACCAUUGUGCUGGAGGCUGGAGCUGGGGCCGCGGCACUGAUGUGGCUGCGGGCUGCGGCGAGGCGAGGCCUGUGGGCGGGCGCCGUCACUACGAGACCCCGGGCUCAGGCCCAGGCCCACCCCGGCCGCUGGGGCUCCCCGCCGACCAGGGCGUUCAACGACGGGGGUGAAGCGGCCGAGCCCGACGAGCAGCAGCAACUAGAGGAGUUAAUCAGGGCAGAGAAGAGAAAGUGGAAAGCCAUAAAACACCGGAAAAUUCAGGCGGAGUUUGAGAGUGGCGGAGCUCCCACGAGAACUCUAACUACAGAGGCCCUGCAGCAAAUCAGGUUUUUGAAGGCACAGUUUCCGGAGGAGUGGAGCGUGUCACAGCUGGCCGAGGGGUUUUCAGUGAGCGAGGACGUCAUCCGGAGAGUUCUGCGGAGUAGGUUUGUCCCUUCGCCGGAGAGGAGGAUGAAACAGGAUGCGACAGUUGCAGCACUGAACCCGACUCUCUCUCCCCGAACGAAACAAGCGACCAUCGGUUUACCGCACAACUCAGUCCUGGCCGACUCCAAACUGGUGGCGGAUAAGGCACCUCUGGCCAGACUACCUCCGGGGCCAGACGCUCUUCCCGUUCUCCUGCCGAGCAGAGCCGGGGAGAAGAAGGUGGGAAGAUCCAAGCCAAUCCAGCAGAGAACCGGUAUCGAGCUCGCUGACCAAGGUGGGGUUGUGAAGGCCAACACCAGGAGGAAGGAAGCAACUGGCAAAGGGAGGGGGAAAGGCAGGGAACUCUGUGACACCUCCAGCGAUGAGCAGCUUGAUACUGCUGGGAAAAUGGACCAGGAAUUGGAGGAACUCGCUGGCAGAGAGAAGGAAAAUCACAUUGUCGUUGUCCAGAAAGACCAUGAGUUUUAUGACCAGGAUGGCAAUUUCCUUUAUAGGAUUAGUAAACACUUAAAUAAUCCGAAACAGGAAGACUGACAUGCAUUUAGUGUUUGUGAAAGAGGGAGCCAGGUGUCUGUGGCCCCUUUCAUUGCCUGGUGGGAUCUCAAGAGUGUUUCACAACUGGUCAAGUGACUUUGACUUGUAGUCACAUUUGUUCUGUAGCAAAAAAAGCCACCAAUCUGCACACAGCAAGUUCCCACGGCAGCAGCAUGGUAAUGAGGUGAUCAUUUUUUUGUCACACUUUGGGGAUAAAAUCUCAUCGGAGCGCCACUGAGAACUUCUGUACAUUUGAAAAGUCAUAAGGUCAUAAUGAAUAGGAGUAGGAUUAGGCCAUUCAGCCCAUCAAGUCUAAACUGCCAUUCAAUCGUGGCUGAUCUAUCUCUCCCUCCCAACCCCAUUCUCCUGCUUUUUCCCCAUAACCUCUGACACCUGUACUACUCAAGAAUCUAGCCAAGUGCUAAUCAAGGGCUAUAAGAUCUUUGUUUACUGUCUUAUCUGAGGUGCUUCACCUCUGGGAAGUGCAUGCACUGAUUGAGAUAGUGGGAGUCUGAUGUGGAGGGAGUAAAGCGACAGACACGUUGGGUAUCAGCUGUGGAAAUCUUGGAUGGAUGAUAUUGAGUGUUGAAGCCAUUGGGGAGUCCCUGCCUCAGAGAGCACCUUGUGUUAAACAAGAUUGCCUACGGUCAAAGCUUUUGAAAUACUUUUGCGAAUGUUCGCAGAGUGGACGUAAUAAACUGAAAUUAAAACCAAUUCUGAUCAUCCUUC